rnacentral:tRNA from 1 species
CCCUGGCUGGCUCAGUCAGCGGAGCGUGUGACUCUUGAUCUCAGUGUCGUGAGUUCAAGCCCCACGUCGGGCC